UUUGAGGAAUAAUAACAAACCACAGGGUAAACAUCACAAACCAACUACAUGGACAGGGUCAUGUUACAUUUAAUCUUGCAUUUGCUUACAUUUAGUGUUCAUUUUUGUGUCAUGUCAGCACAAAGAAGCACAAUCAUAGAGUUGGUAUACUAUUUCGCCACAUGCUAAGCUCAGUGAUUCACCAUUCCCUAUCUUCCUCUCUAUAAUGAUAUGAAUUUAAUCUCCCAGAUUGGUUCAGGUUUGAAGGCAUGAAUAUUAGGAAUCAUGUGGGUGUAUUUUAAAGUACAACUGUUCUAAUGUUUGUUCAAUUCUAGGUGUAGUCAAUGUACAUGUUUAUGUGUGAUUAAAUUUAUUUCGGUUGUGGCUAUGUUUUC